GACGAACGCUGGCGGCGUGCUUAACACAUGCAAGUCGAACGGAAAGGCCCUGCUUUUGUGGGGUGCUCGAGUGGCGAACGGGUGAGUAACACGUGAGUAACCUGCCCUUGACUUUGGGAUAACUUCAGGAAACUGGGGCUAAUACCGGAUAGGAGCUCCUGCUGCAUGGUGGGGGUUGGAAAGUUUCGGCGGUUGUGGAUGGACUCGCGGCUUAUCAGCUUGUUUGUGGGGUAGUGGCUUACCAAGGCUUUGACGGGUAGCCGGCCUGAGAGGGUGAACGGCCACAUUGGGACUGAGAUACGGCGCAGACUCCUACGGGAGGCAGCAGUGGGGAAUAUUGCACAAUGGGCGGAAGCCAGAUGCAACAACGCCGCGUGCGGGAUGACGGCCUUCGGGUUGUAAACCGCUUUCGACUGUGACGAAGCGUGAGUGACGGUAAUGGGUAAAGAAGCACCGGCUAACUACGUG
rnacentral:rRNA from 1 species